AGUGAACGCUGGCGGUAGGCCUAACACAUGCAAGUCGAACGGCAGCACAGUAAGAGCUUGCUCUUACGGGUGGCGAGUGGCGGACGGGUGAGGAAUACAUCGGAAUCUACUUUUUCGUGGGGGAUAACGUAGGGAAACUUACGCUAAUACCGCAUACGACCUACGGGUGAAAGCAGGGGAUCUUCGGACCUUGCGCGAUUGAAUGAGCCGAAGUCGGACUAGCUAGUUGGCGGGGUAAAGGCCCACCAAGGCGACGAUCCGUAGCUGGUCUGAGAGGAUGAUCAGCCACACUGGAACUGAGACACGGUCCAGACUCCUACGGGAGGCAGCAGUGGGGAAUAUUGGACAAUGGGCGCAAGCCUGAUCCAGCCAUACCGCGUGGGUGAAGAAGGCCUUCGGGUUGUAAAGCCCUUUUGUUGGGAAAGAAAAGCAGCAGGUUAAUACCCCGCUGUUCUGACGGUACCCAAAGAAUAAGCACCGGCUAACUUCGUG
rnacentral:rRNA from 1 species